AUGGAGAAGAUUAAUAGGACCGUCGAAAAGAAAGCCUUAAUAAGGCUCCAUAUAACUCUAACUUCCAUCAUUCUUUUUCUUUUCUUUCUUGUUUUUGUUUUAUUGUUACUUUUGAU
rnacentral:ribozyme from 13 species